CCAAAAAAGAUGAAUCCAAACACCUCCACACCAAGACACAUUAUAAUUUAAUUGUCAAUAGUUAAAGACAAGGAAAGAAUCCUAAAAGCAGCAAGUGAAAAACAACUUGUUAAAUACAAAGGAAACC